AGUUAUAUAGUCUAUUAGGACGUUAAAUUGCAAAUUUAAAGGAGAAAUAAAAUUUCUAUAGCUU
rnacentral:tRNA from 1 species